rnacentral:rRNA from 1 species
CCUACGGGAGGCAGCAGUGAGGAAUAUUGGUCAAUGGACGGGAGCCUGAACCAGCCAAGCCGCGUGAGGGAAGAAGGUACAGCGUAUCGUAAACCUCUUUUGUCAGGGAACAAAGGCGGGGACUAGUCCCCGGAUGAGGGUACCUGAAGAAAAAGCAUCGGCUAACUCCGUGCCAGCAGCCGCGGUAAUACGGAGGAUGCGAGCGUUAUCCGGAUUUAUUGGGGUUAAAGGGUGCGCAGGGGGCCUGUUAAGUCAGCGGGAAAAGCCCGGGGCUCAACCCGGGCGAGCCGUUGAAACUGGCGGGCUGGAGUUGGAGAGAGGUACGCGGAAGGCGCGGUGUAGCGGUGAAAUGCUUAGAUAUCGCGCAGAACCCCGAUGGCGAAGGCAGCGUACCGGCUCCACACUGACGCUGAGGCACGAAAGCGUGGGUAUCGAACAGGAUUAGAUACCCCUGUAGUC